rnacentral:tRNA from 1 species
GACGGUUUGGCCGAGUGGUCUAAGGCGCCAGAUUUAGGCUCUGUUCGAAAGGGUGGGGUUCAAAUCCCACAGCCGUCA